UUCGGAAUUGGUGUGUAUGCAUAGGACCUUCAGUUCGCGAAUGACUUCCUGCACUGCAAAAGCACCGGCCGAUGACUCG
rnacentral:misc_RNA from 1 species